AUUGAACGCUGGCGGCAGGCCUAACACAUGCAAGUCGAGCGAGCGGCGGACGGGUGAGUAAUGUAUGGGGACUGCCCGAUAGAGGGGGAUAACUCCUGGAAACGGUGGCUAAUACCGCAUACUGUCGUAUAACCCAUAUGGGAUUAGCUAGUAGGUAAGGUAAUGGCUUACCUAGGCGACGAUCCCUAGCUGGUCUGAGAGGAUGAUCAGACGAACUGGGACUGAGACCCGGCCGAGACUCCUACGGAGGCAGCAGUGGGGAAUAUGGCACAAUGGGCGCAAGCCUGAUGCAGCCAUGCCGCGUGGAUGAAGAAGGCCCUAGGGUUGUAAAGUAAUUUAAGUCGGGAGGCGUUACCGACAGAAGAAGCACCGGCUAACUACGUGCCAGCCGCAGCGGUAAUUC
rnacentral:rRNA from 1 species